AGUACGACAUCUAUAUUAUAAUACUGUCAGUACUGCAGGACGAGGUGGUGGAGGUACGACAUCUAUAUUAUAAUACUGUCAGUACUGCAGGACGAGGUGGUAGAGGUACGACAUCUAUAUUAUAAUACUGUCAGUACUGCAGGACGAGGUGGUGAGGUACGACAUCUAUAUUAUAAUACUGUCAGUACUGCAGGACGAGGUGGUGGAGGUACGACAUCUAUAUUAUAAUACUGUCAGUACUGCAGGACGAGGUGUGAGGUACGACAUCUAUAUUAUAAUACUGUCAGUACUGCAGGACGAGGUGGUGGAGGUACGACAUCUAUAUUAUAAUACUGUCAGUACUGCAGGACGAGGUGGUGGAGGUACGACAUCUAUAUAUAAUACUGUCAGUACUG